rnacentral:rRNA from 1 species
AGCUAAGGUCCCUAAGUUCUGGCUAAGUGGACAAGGUUGUUGAACUGCUAUGACAGCCAGGAGGUUGGCUUAGAAGCAGCCAUCCUUUAAAGAAAGCGUAAUAGCUCACUGGUCAAGCGGUUCUGCGCCGACAAUGUACCGGGGCUCAAGCCAGGCACCGAAGCUGCGGAUCCCAUCCGGUUCGUCCGGGUGGGGUGGUAGGGGAGCGUUCUAACAGGGAUGAAGUCGGACCGAGAGGACCGGUGGACCUGUUGGAAGUGACUCUGUCGGCAUAAGUAGCGAUAAUGGCGGUGAGAAUCCGCCACGCCGAAAGCCUAAGGUUUCCUGGGGAAGGUUCGUCCGCCCAGGGUUAGUCGGGUCCUAAGGUGAGGCCGAGAGGCGUAAUCGAUGGAAAACUGGUUAAUAUUCCAGUACCGCCGUGUGGACGUUAUGAGCGAAGGGGUAACGCGGAAGGAUAAAUCAGCCAGCUGAUGGAUGCUGGUCGAAGGUCGUAGGUGGAUCCGGCAGGCAAAUCCACUGGAUCUUAACACCGAGAGCCGAGAGGGCCCCAAGUCCUUGGAUGAGGGGUAACUGAUUGAGUCCAUGCCGCCAAGAAAAACCUCGUAGCCAGUCCAUGGGGCGCCCGUACCGUAAACCGACACAGGUGGGCGAGGAGAGUAUCCAUAGGCGCGUGAGUGAGUCCUCGGGAAGGAACUCGGCAAAAUUACACCGUAACUUCGGGAGAAGGUGUACCCCUGGUACGUGAAAGCCCUCGCGGCCGUAGCGGAAAGGGGUCGCAGAUAAUCGGCCCAAGCGACUGUUUAACAAAAACACAGGUCUCUGCAAAGUCGUUAAGACGACGUAUAGGGACUGACGCCUGCCCGGUGCCGGAAGGUUAAGGAGAGAGGUCAGCCGCAAGGUGAAGCUUUGAACCGAAGCCCCGGUAAACGGCGGCCGUAACUAUAACGGUCCUAAGGUAGCGAAAUUCCUUGUCGGGUAAGUUCCGACCUGCACGAAAGGCGUAACGAUUUGGGCGCUGUCUCCCCGAGGGGCUCAGCGAAUUUGUGGCACCGGUGAAGACGCCGGUUACCCGCGACUAGACGGAAAGACCCUGUGAACCUUCACUGCACCCUAGCAUUGAAUUUCGACCUCACGUGUGCAGGAUAGGUGGGAGGCUGUGAAACUGGGGCGUUAGCUUCAGCGGAGCCAACCU